rnacentral:rRNA from 1 species
AUUGAACGCUGGCGGCAUGCCUUACACAUGCAAGUCGAACGGCAGCGGGGGAGAAGCUUGCUUUUCCUGCCGGCGAGUGGCGAACGGGUGAGUAAUACAUCGGAACGUGCCCUGUAGUGGGGGAUAACUAGUCGAAAGAUUAGCUAAUACCGCAUACGACCUGAGGGUGAAAGUGGGGGACCGCAAGGCCUCAUGCUAUAGGAGCGGCCGAUGUCUGAUUAGCUAGUUGGUGGGGUAAAGGCCUACCAAGGCGACGAUCAGUAGCUGGUCUGAGAGGACGAUCAGCCACACGGGGCCUGGGACACGGCCCAGACUCCUACGGGAGGCAGCAGUGGGGAAUUUUGGACAAUGGGCGAAAGCCUGAUCCAGCAAUGCCGCGUGUGUGAAGAGGGCCUUCGGGUUGUAAAGCACUUUUGUCCGGAAAGAAAUGGCUCUGGUUAAUACCUGGGGUCGAUGACGGUACCUGAAGAAUAAGCACCGGCUAACUACGUGCCAGCCGCCGCCGUAA